AUACUAGUAAGUUAAUUAAACUGUGGGGUUCAUGUCCCCUUAAUACAUUAUUUUUAUGUCUAGUUGA
rnacentral:tRNA from 1 species